UCUGUGGCAAAGAAUUCCACAGAUUCACCACUCUCUAACUUAAGAAAUUCUUCCUAAUCUUCGCCCUGAAGGAACGUCCUUGAAUUCUCAGGCUGCGACCUCUGGUCCUAGACUCUCCCACUAGUGGAAACAUCCUCUCCACAUCCACUCCAUCCGAGCCUUUCACU